AACAAAUUUAACUAGCGCUGUAUAAGUGCUGUGGUGAGGACGAAAGUCAAAUUGAAACUUCUCAAAUAAACAGUUGUGAUAAGCAGAAAGAAUGAAGGCAAGUGAGCGGAUAGAGCAGAGCUGAAGUCGGCUGCCACAUCAGCCAGCCUGGCCCCUACAAUGUAGGAAUUCCCAGGAUGGCAUCAAAAUCUGCCAACGGCAGAGGCAACCAAUGACCAUGAUUGCAGACAUGUUAACAUGCCAUGCGCCCAUCGCCUACACUGGAUGUGUAGGCGUUUAC
ensembl:lncRNA